rnacentral:piRNA from 1 species
UAACUGCUUAUUUCAACACUGCAUCCAGG